GGAACCCUGGAUGCAAUGGGCUCCACCUGUGCAGUAAAUUGGUCCCACUCUGAGAGAUACCCAUUUGCAUAAGACAUGUCUCCGAUGUGGAAAACAAUGUCGAUAUUGUUUAAGUCUUUGAUGAGCUGAUCGGUGGUGUUCAAUGCUCCAGGCUGAUAGUUGCUAAAUUCAUUCGAGCCAUCACGUUGUCCCUGAAAAGUCAUGUGAUGAAAGGGCUUGGAUUGUUCCUUUUCAAAAAUCAUUUGUAUGACAAUCGUCGACCUCAAGGAGCUCAAAUGUGAUGGUAGUUGUAGAAAAUCCUCUCAAGAAGAUAGAGAUUUAUGAAGUCAAUUCAAGAAACAUACAUAGACCCGAAGAGGAAACGGUGAUGACUUGAAUGAAUAGCUCUUGCUCCAAAUAUAUGAUCCACUAAGCAAGCGGUGACCCAUUCUGUACGUAUACCUGUUGAAACCAACGCAGCAAUCCUUAAUUCACAUAAAAACAAGAUUUAAAUAGUGGUUCAGAUCAAUAGCUUCAACCAUUGAUAUUUGAUACAUACACAGUGUUUGGCCAUAAGUUCUGCAGGAAACUCGUGUGAAAGAAACCAGGAUCACGCCAACCAACAGUUCGUGCAGGUGCAUCUUUGAUUGAAGAAAAUGUCAUCAUGCAACAAGUCAAAAAUUAGAAACUAGUGCUCAGUCAGAAUAAAAGAGUAAAAAUAAUACGGUUUGCAGAGUAAUUAUCUAAUUAGAAUCGAAGAAAGUCAUCGAUACAUUCUGAAAGAAGUCUGAACUACCUUUCUAAAUGAAUUGUUAACAUUCAUGUCCUGAUGAAACUAUGAAAGAAAGACAUUGGUGGUGUUCUAAGAAACCACUUGGAUGGAAUGGAAUUGAAAACUCAUUUCCAGGUUAAUGGCUUGCUCAAGGACAUCAAGAUGAUGAAAUAAAAAAUUUAUGAGUUGACUAAUAAGGCA